UACGGAGGGUGCAAGCGUUAUCCGGAUUUACUGGGUUUAAAGGGUGCGUAGGCGGGGAGGUAAGUCAGUGGGGAAAUCUCCGAGCUUAACUCGGAAACUGCCUUUGAUACUAUUUAUCUUGAAUAUUGUGGAGGUAAGCGGAAUAUGUCAUGUAGCGGUGAAAUGCUUAGAUAUGACAUAGAACACCCAUUGCGAAGGCAGCUUACUACGCAUAUAUUGACGCUGAGGCACGAAAGCGUGGGGAUCAAACAGG
rnacentral:rRNA from 1 species